rnacentral:tRNA from 1 species
GACCCCAUCGUCUAGAGGCCUAGGACACCGCCCUUUCAAGGCGGCAACGCGGGUUCGAACCCCGCUGGGGUCACCA